rnacentral:lncRNA from 1 species
GGAAUCUGUAAAUUCAGUAAGGUGCUUUUGGAAGUGUACUUCAAAGGCAUGCAUUGUGUUUUAAUCUGUUUACCUGUGCAGUCAUCUUUGGGGAAUUUACAGAUGAGAUGCACUACAAUCUGCAGUCAAUAGCGUUGCCUGCCAAGCCAUCUGCCAGACUUCCAGCCGUGGCCUUGGAGGAGCAUUGCGGUGACCAGCACAGCGUGUCUCAUGAAUGGGGGUCAGCUAAUGUGCUGUGGUAAUUGAAAGGUCUUCAGUCUUGAAAGAGUUGUGAAGGGUCACUGAACAUUUAAAAGAGAAUUUAGCAGGCAGACAAGGAGAAGAGAUGUUCGUAGCAGUAAUUUGAUUUUGCUUGCUGUUUUUUGUUAGUGAAAGGUGGGCACGUUUCUGGUCUUUGCUCACUGUGGUUUGAUUGCAUUGGUUCGGGUACUGAAGAAAGUCACAGCUGCCACUGGAAAUGGCUUCAUCAGUGUGGAAGAAGACUAGUUGGUGACUUGGUAGUGCACUGGCCAUGGUAUUUAUCAGUAUGGAGAAGUGUCCUACAUUCAAGUCCUUAGCAAUCAUGCUAAAGAAUCUCUUCUUCCUACAAAAUACCAUGAAGGCAUCGUCAUAAAGCUGUUCCUACAAGCAAGCUUACCAAUGCACUGCAGAUCUGUCCUGUCAUGCACAGAGUCCCAUGAGUGCCACUUUAAUGAUCCAGGUGUAUACACAUCAUCCUCCAAGCAAGUCAAAAGCAUGAAUGCUGUGAAGACAGGAACCAUGCACUUCCACGGGGACACUGAUCAUGGCAGCUGCUACUACAAAUGUCCUCUCCUGCUCCUGGGACCAGCAGCCUAUGAGCAAACAGAGCCAUACCCUUUUUCCACAAGUUCCUGACAAGAAACAUCAGACUUGCAGAUUCAGAGAUAUCAGGCUCCAACAGUACCUCACCAAAGACUUUUCUGGGCAUAAUUCUGGCUAAAUAAUGACCAGCAGUAAUCACUCCCACGUCAGUGGCCCAAGAAGCUACCUAGCCUGAAGCAGCAGGACAGGACAGGAUUUGAACCCAAGGAUGCUUCCUGAUAACCUUUCUGGUAGAUGAGCUGUAGAAGUAGAACUGUUAUUUAUUAUUCCUUUCAUCUGUUUGAAGCUCUAGAGAGUGCAGGUCUGUAACUUUACUCUUGUGUCAGCAGGGGGAUGGAAGUGAGAAGCAAAAACAGAAAAGUGAAAGCAGCUUGGUGCUGUCUCUGGAGCCAGGGCAACCAUGAGUGCUCCUUUGGGCUGCUUCUGGGGAAGGCUUCACUUUGCACAAGGCAACUCCAUAUGGUGAAGCAAUAAAAUCUGCUUCAGCUUGUUCUUUUUGUCUGUG